UCGUUCCACAUCAAAUUCACGAGUUUGUAUUCUAAUUUCGCAAAUUUAUAGUAAUAUCAUAGGUUUUUAAAAAAAGAAUUAAAAUCGCAUGCAAAAGUUGUUUGGAUCGUCUUUAAGAACAUUCAUAUAUUACUUUAACCAAAAAAAAGAAAAAAACAUUCAUAUAUUACUUUUUCGAAUAUCAAAGUUUUCUAAUAAACGUGGGAAUCGUCUUUCUCAAACAUACUAGAAUCACCAUACCAACGAAAAA
rnacentral:lncRNA from 1 species